rnacentral:tmRNA from 1 species
GGGGGCGUAAUGGUUUCGACUGGAUAUUGAAAACAUAAGCCGCAUGUAGAGGUUGAUCGGUUGGCCUCUUAAAAAAGCCGUUCAAACAAACUAAUUGCAGACUCUAACGAGCUCGCACUUGCUGCUUAAUUGACAGCAACGUCUCUUCCUCCGACGUCCACUAGGGGGAAAGGCGCCAAAUCAGUGGACUGGCCAACGAUCGGGUGACCGGGUCAAUGGUAAGAUUAAACAGGUCAAUCGGAGUGCGUUAGCCGCUGGUGAGCCACCGCCCUCUUAAAACCCAUAUCAUCCAGCUAAACAUGUAGACGCUUAAGUAGCAGGUAUUUAGGACAGGGGUUCGACUCCCCUCGCCUCCACCA